GCCGGUGUAGCUCAGUGGUUAGAGCGAGCGACUCAUAAUCGCUAGGUCACAGGUUCAAGUCCCGUCACCGGCACCA
rnacentral:tRNA from 1 species